ACCGAUAGUGAACCAGUACCGUGAGGGAAAGGUGAAAAGCACCCCGGAAGGGGAGUGAAAUAGAACCUGAAACCGUGUGCUUACAAGUAGUCAGAGCCCGUUAAUGGGUGAUGGCGUGCCUUUUGUAGAAUGAACCGGCGAGUUACGAUUUGAUGCAAGGUUAAGCAGUAAAUGUGGAGCCGUAGCGAAAGCGAGUCUGAAUAGGGCGUUUAGUAUUUGGUCGUAGACCCGAAACCAGGUGAUCUACCCUUGGUCAGGUUGAAGUUCAGGUAACACUGAAUGGAGGACCGAACCGACUUACGUUGAAAAGUGAGCGGAUGAACUGAGGGUAGCGGAGAAAUUCCAAUCGAACCUGGAGAUAGCUGGUUCUCUCCGAAAUAGCUUUAGGGCUAGCCUCAAGUGAUGAUUAUUGGAGGUAGAGCACUGUUUGGACGAGGGGCCCCUCUCGGGUUACCGAAUUCAGACAAACUCCGAAUGCCAAUUAAUUUAACUUGGGAGUCAGAACAUGGGUGAUAAGGUCCGUGUUCGAAAGGGAAACAGCCCAGACCACCAGCUAAGGUCCCAAAAUAUAUGUUAAGUGGAAAAGGAUGUGGCGUUGCCCAGACAACUAGGAUGUUGGCUUAGAAGCAGCCAUCAUUUAAAGAGUGCGUAAUAGCUCACUAGUCGAGUGACACUGCGCCGAAAAUGUACCGGGGCUAAACAUAUUACCGAAGCUGUGGAUUGUCCUUUGGACAAUGGUAGGAGAGCGUUCUAAGGGCGUUGAAGCAUGAUCGUAAGGACAUGUGGAGCGCUUAGAAGUGAGAAUGCCGGUGUGAGUAGCGAAAGACGGGUGAGAAUCCCGUCCACCGAUUGACUAAGGUUUCCAGAGGAAGGCUCGUCCGCUCUGGGUUAGUCGGGUCCUAAGCUGAGGCCGACAGGCGUAGGCGAUGGAUAACAGGUUGAUAUUCCUGUACCACCUAUAAUCGUUUUAAUCGAUGGGGGGACGCAGUAGGAUAGGCGAAGCGUGCGAUUGGAUUGCACGUCUAAGCAGUAAGGCUGAGUAUUAGGCAAAUCCGGUACUCGUUAAGGCUGAGC
rnacentral:rRNA from 1 species